UGUGUCAACCUCAUUGCGAGUUCCGAGCUCCUCGGAACCCGAACCCCUCGUUGUCCUACGACGCCGAAGACGAAGAAGACGACGAGGGUCCUCCAAACCCUAACCCCUCGUUGUCCUACGAUGCUGCCAUAGCGUAGGAGCCCGAGCUCCUCCUCCACCGCACCUCCGCCACGCCCCUUUCCCCCCAGUCCUCUGCGGUGUCCUACCUCCUCGGCCCCGCCGUUAGGGUCUGGGACCCCUGCAACCUCCUCCUCCGCCCCCCGCCGUCCCCCGACGCAGCCGCCGAGUAAUCUAUGGAGAACAACAUCUGAGGAUAAGAGGGAAUUAGAACGGCUAGAGAAGCCUAUGUACAAUGCAGUUCGGCGAGCAGAUGAAGUUCAUAGAAAGGUUCGGAAAUAUAUCAGGAGUAUUUUGAAGCGUGGAAUUUUAAUGAUGAGCUUUGUGAGACCUUGGAAAAUAUGGUAAGGAAACUUAUUAAAGAGAAUUGCUGUUCUGACAGGAUGCUCCUUAAAUUGGUGAAGUGUUGCUCUGAAAUCGUUUUCUACUUUAUUCUUAUUUGGUCCUUGAACAUUGACUUGAUUAUGGCUUGCUUUUGGGGUUGCAUUGCAGCCCAUUGGAUUCCCAAUUCUGGUGAUAAAACUGUCCUUCAGUAUGAUGAUGUGAUGAUGUUGGAUUUUGGAACACACAUAGAUGGUAGUCUUAGCUGUUAGCCUAGUAGCCUACAUUACUAUCCUUUUUUUGGUUGGGGGGGAGGGGGAAUCCAUUGCUUUAGGCUUUAAGCGAAGCUACAAGUAUUGGGGUUAAGGUAAUGUUUUACAUAAUGAUCUUUGAUUUGUUUGACAUGCUUUAGGAAUUUUAGUUGGUCUUUUUUUUGAGUAUUUUCUUCUUUUCUCCCCGAGAAAAUAUCUUUGGGAAGUGUUUUCUUUCCUUGUAAAGAGAGCAUGUAGAAUUC